rnacentral:misc_RNA from 1 species
GAUUAUUAUAAGAAACAAAAGAGAAAAUCAGGAGUAAAAGAAACAGCCCCAAACAAACAAAACUAAGGAAACUUCACUUUUGAUCUCCACAUAGCCAAAGAUCCAAAAAAACCAAAUCAUAAUAGCCUAAAAAACUCAGCCUAAUUCAUAACCUUGAAGUAAAGAUGCUAGGGAAAAUCCCAACAAAACACAAAUACUGCUCGCAACGCCCAAAAAAGCAAAGACUCCUAGAGCACAGCCUUGAAACUCAAUACUUCUUGAUCAAGAAUCCCAUGGUCGUGGAAAGAAAACUGAAAGAUGAGAUCCUGGUCUCUUUUGAAGCAAAUCCAUUGAUAGUUGCAAGAAGCAACUUUCUUGAGCGAUACAAAGUGGAGCCAAAGCAUGGAACUGA